GGAAAUGAAAGAAAAGGAUAAGAAGAAGAAGAAACCUGAACGCAAGAAGAAAUAAUUUCUUUUUUUUUGUUCACGAUUGGUUUUCCAACCAUUUUUUAUUUUCCUUUGUUUUUUUUGAGGGGUGUUUCUUUUGGUUUUGAGGAAUAAAUUUGGUCAUUU
rnacentral:ribozyme from 13 species